rnacentral:misc_RNA from 1 species
GGUUUGAAGACAUUAGUUAAAUGACUUGCAAACAAGUUGGCUUUUUGUAUAGCCACGCUACGCGCCCAUCCACCUUGCGGAUAGCGAAUUUGAGGGAUUAUUUACGGAGGACGAGUGAGUUUCCUGGAUGCCUUCCAUACUUACGCUUGUCUUCAGGUGUUCUAUGACUUUGCCAUACUCUUCUGAGUCUGCGUGUUUUACCGAUUUGACAUUAGAAAUUGGAAAUUUGAAUCCGAACACAUAAUUAUACAGCACAAUAUUGAUUACGUUGACUCUCAAACUUCUGGCUAUUCAGAUAAGUUGAAAUACAAAAAUGAUUCAUUAAAUAUUUAUAUGGAAUAAUCGUAACAGAGAUAUAAAGAAAUAAGAAUAUUAGCUUGGUAAAGAACAAUAUAUGUCAUAUUUAUUUUAUAUGUCGUUUAAUACAAAUAAAUAGUAUUAUAAAAUAAAUGUUAUAAUAUAAAAUUCAACUUUUAAAAAGGCACACUGUUAAAACUUAAACAUUCAUAUGAGAAUUUUUAUAAAAGAUGUUAUUAAUAAAAGACGUUUGAGCAUAUUAAAUAAUUAAUGAAAUAAAAUUAUCUUCAAAUUAUUAACUAUUACCACAUCAACAUUAAUAACCCGUUUCCUCUUUGAAAGAGUUAGAUUUUAUGGAAUGUUAAAGUACAAUUAUAAUCAAUUUAAUGCGUAAGUAACAAUCCAAGUAUUAUCUUGACCUGAAUUUUCAUUAGCAUUUUAUUCGUCUUAAUUUUUUAUGCUCUCAGAUAUUCUAAAUGCUUUUAAGUAAUAGUGAUAUACAACCUUAGUUUUAGCAGUUUAUACAUAUAAUGAAAUAUCAAGUCAUAAGCACAGAGUGAUCGUUUGUACUUUGGUCAAUAAAAUACUUAGAAAUAGAUUAACUUGUUACAAUUGUAAAAAAUAUUAAAAUCACUGAUUUCAUUAAUAUUGGAUUCGAAUGUCAAAAAUUUAAGUCCACAGUGCUGUUGGCAUCAUUCCUUCUACUGUACCAGCAGCUGGUUUCAGAUCCUCAUUGCAUAAAAAGUGCAAUGGCAUGUUUACUAAAUGACCCUAAAAUAAAAUUAAAAAUGAAAAGAUAAAGUUUGUUAAAAUAAUAAUAAUAAUGAUAAUAAUAAUAACAA